UACGUAGGGGGCAAGCGUUGUCCGGAAUCAUUGGGUUUAAAGGGUGCGUAGGUGGGCAAGUAAGUCAGUGGUGAAAUCUCCGGGCUUAACCCGGAAACUGCCAUUGAUACUAUUUGUCUUGAAUACUGUGGAGGUCAGCGGAAUAUGUCAUGUAGCGGUGAAAUGCUUAGAUAUGACAUAGAACACCAAUUGCGAAGGCAGCUGGCUACACAAAUAUUGACACUGAGGCACGAAAGCGUGGGGAGCAAACAGG
rnacentral:rRNA from 1 species